AACCCUUUUAAAUGCGGUCCUGUGAGGCUGACAAAGGGGAAAAAGCCGAAAGUAUACUUUUACGGCGUCUUCAUUUCCACUUUGUACCGUCACGAACAAAGUGGUUUUUUUAU
rnacentral:sRNA from 1 species